rnacentral:lncRNA from 1 species
AAAAAAAAGAGCAAACAAACACUGCGCGAGCCAAUCCGGGAAAAAAUGCACACGAUUUCUGAAAAACGACAGCAACAACAACCGCAACCGCACUUGGACCGGACCCGCACGCAGCCACGACGCAGUUGGGCACAAAUUGCCCAUGUUAUGUUUAGCGGCGACCUGCUUUAAUCGACGGCUCGUGGCCGACCGACCGCUGUCGGCCGGCCGACUUGCGGCCAGCCGCUACCGCCCGUGCCGGCGCUGUCCGCACCCGUUGCUGGCGGUGGACCAAAAAAUGCGCUUUGGGCGAUCAGUAGACGGAAAAAUCAUUUGUGCGGGGUGGGUUGCGCGGUCAAAACUAUAUAUUUUUAAACUUGCCGAG